GACGAACGCUGGCGGCGUGCUUAACACAUGCAAGUCGAACGGAAAGGCCCUGCUUUUGUGGGGUGCUCGAGUGGCGAACGGGUGAGUAACACGUGAGUAACCUGCCCUUGACUUUGGGAUAACUUCAGGAAACUGGGGCUAAUACCGGAUAGGAGCUCCUGCUGCAUGGUGGGGGUUGGAAAGUUUCGGCGGUUGGGGAUGGACUCGCGGCUUAUCAGCUUGUUGGUGGGGUAGUGGCUUACCAAGGCUUUGACGGGUAGCCGGCCCGAGAGGGUGACCGGCCACAUUGGGACUAGGAUACGGCCCAGACUCCUACGGGAGGCAGCAGUGGGGAAUAUUGCACAAUGGGCGGAAGCCUGAUGCAGCAACGCCGCGUGCGGGAUGACGGCCUUCGGGUUGUAAACCGCUUUCGCCUGUGACGAAGCGUGAGUGACGGUAAUGGGUAAAGAAGCACCGGCUAACUACGUG
rnacentral:rRNA from 1 species